GCUGGGUAUAGUGACAUGUGCCUGUAGUCCUGCUACUUAGGAGGCUGAGGCAGGAGGAUCACUGGAACCCAGGAUUUUGAGGCUGCAGUGAGCACUGAUUGUGCCACUGCACUCUAACCUGGGCAACAGAGUGAGACCCUGUCUCUA
ensembl:misc_RNA Metazoa_SRP Metazoan signal recognition particle RNA